CUUACACAUGCAAGUCGAACGGAAAGGCCCUGCUUUUGUGGGGUGCUCGAGUGGCGAACGGGUGAGUAACACGUGAGUAACCUGCCCUUGACUUUGGGAUAACUUCAGGAAACUGGGGCUAAUACCGGAUAGGAGCUCCUGCUGCAUGGUGGGGGUUGGAAAGUUUCGGCGGUUGGGGAUGGACUCGCGGCUUAUCAGCUUGUUGGUGGGGUAGUGGCUUACCAAGGCUUUGACGGGUAGCCGGCCUGAGAGGGUGACCGGCCACAUUGGGACUGAGAUACGGCCCAGACUCCUACGGGAGGCAGCAGUGGGGAAUAUUGCACAAUGGGCGGAAGCCUGAUGCAGCAACGCCGCGUGCGGGAUGACGGCCUUCGGGUUGUAAACCGCUUUCGCCUGUGACGAAGCGUGAGUGACGGUAAUGGGUAAAGAAGCACCGGCUAACUACGUGCCAGCAGCCGCGGUGAUACGUAGGGUGCGAGCGUUGUCCGGAUUUAUUGGGCGUAAAGGGCUCGUAGGUGGUCGAUCGCGUCGGAAGUGUAAUCUUGGGGCUUAACCCUGAGCGUGCUUUCGAUACGGGUUGACUUGAGGAAGGUAGGGGAGAAUGGAAUUCCUGGUGGAGCGGUGGAAUGCGCAGAUAUCAGGAGGAACACCAGUGGCGAAGGCGGUUCUCUGGGCCUUUCCUGACGCUGAGGAGCGAAAGCGUGGGGAGCGAACAGGCUUAGAUACCCUGGUAGUCCACGCUGUAAACGGUGGGUACUAGGUGUGGGGUCCAUUCCACGGGUUCCGUGCCGUAGCUAACGCUUUAAGUACCCCGCCUGGGGAGUACGGCCGCAAGGCUAAAACUCAAAGGAAUUGACGGGGCCCCGCACAAGCGGCGGAGCAUGCGGAUUAAUUCGAUGCAACGCGUAGAACCUUACCUGGGUUUGACAUGGAUCGGGAGUGCUCAGAGAUGGGUGUGCCUCUUUUGGGGUCGGUUCACAGGUGGUGCAUGGCUGUCGUCAGCUCGUGUCGUGAGAUGUUGGGUUAAGUCCCGCAACGAGCGCAACCCUUGUUCACUGUUGCCAGCACGUUAUGGUGGGGACUCAGUGGAGACCGCCGGGGUCAACUCGGAGGAAGGUGGGGAUGACGUCAAGUCAUCAUGCCCCUUAUGUCCAGGGCUUCACGCAUGCUACAAUGGCUGGUACAGAGAGUGGCGAGCCUGUGAGGGUGAGCGAAUCUCGGAAAGCCGGUCUCAGUUCGGAUUGGGGUCUGCAACUCGACCUCAUGAAGUCGGAGUCGCUAGUAAUCGCAGAUCAGCAACGCUGCGGUGAAUACGUUCCCGGGGCUUGUACACACCGCCCGUCAAGUCAUGAAAGUUGGUAACACCCGAAGCCGGUGGCCUAACCGUUGUGGGGGAGCCGUCGAAGGUGGGACUGGUGAUUAGGACUAA
rnacentral:rRNA from 1 species